rnacentral:rRNA from 1 species
UUUAUGGAGAGUUUGAUCCUGGCUCAGGAUGAACGCUGGCGGCGUGCCUAAUACAUGCAAGUCGAGCGAACGGACGAGAAGCUUGCUUCUCUGAUGUUAGCGGCGGACGGGUGAGUAACACGUGGAUAACCUACCUAUAAGACUGGGAUAACUUCGGGAAACCGGAGCUAAUACCGGAUAAUAUUUUGAACCGCAUGGUUCAAAAGUGAAAGACGGUCUUGCUGUCACUUAUAGAUGGAUCCGCGCUGCAUUAGCUAGUUGGUAAGGUAACGGCUUACCAAGGCAACGAUGCAUAGCCGACCUGAGAGGGUGAUCGGCCACACUGGAACUGAGACACGGUCCAGACUCCUACGGGAGGCAGCAGUAGGGAAUCUUCCGCAAUGGGCGAAAGCCUGACGGAGCAACGCCGCGUGAGUGAUGAAGGUCUUCGGAUCGUAAAACUCUGUUAUUAGGGAAGAACAUAUGUGUAAGUAACUGUGCACAUCUUGACGGUACCUAAUCAGAAAGCCACGGCUAACUACGUGCCAGCAGCCGCGGUAAUACGUAGGUGGCAAGCGUUAUCCGGAAUUAUUGGGCGUAAAGCGCGCGUAGGCGGUUUUUUAAGUCUGAUGUGAAAGCCCACGGCUCAACCGUGGAGGGUCAUUGGAAACUGGAAAACUUGAGUGCAGAAGAGGAAAGUGGAAUUCCAUGUGUAGCGGUGAAAUGCGCAGAGAUAUGGAGGAACACCAGUGGCGAAGGCGACUUUCUGGUCUGUAACUGACGCUGAUGUGCGAAAGCGUGGGGAUCAAACAGGAUUAGAUACCCUGGUAGUCCACGCCGUAAACGAUGAGUGCUAAGUGUUAGGGGGUUUCCGCCCCUUAGUGCUGCAGCUAACGCAUUAAGCACUCCGCCUGGGGAGUACGACCGCAAGGUUGAAACUCAAAGGAAUUGACGGGGACCCGCACAAGCGGUGGAGCAUGUGGUUUAAUUCGAAGCAACGCGAAGAACCUUACCAAAUCUUGACAUCCUUUG